rnacentral:rRNA from 1 species
UACAGAGGGUGCGAGCGUUGUUCGGAAUUAUUGGGCGUAAAGGGCGCGUAGGCGGUGCGGUAAGUCACCUGUGAAAACUCUGGGCUCAACUCAGAGCCUGCAGGCGAAACUCCCGUGCUGGAGUGUGGGAGAGGUGCGUGGAAUUCCCGGUGUAGCGGUGAAAUGCGUAGAUAUCAGGAGGAACACCAGUGGCGAAGGCGGCUCACUGGCCCGGUACUGACGCUGAGGUGCGAAAGCGUGGGGAGCAAACAGG